GGCCUCGUAGCUCAGCUGGUAGAAAAAACAUGCGCCGUAACAAAAGCGUAGGCGGCGUCCAUGCGUGGGUUCGAAUCCCACUGAGGCUA
rnacentral:tRNA from 1 species